GAUGAACGCUGGCGGCGUGCCUAACACAUGCAAGUCGAACGGAGCUGCCUUGAUGAAGUUUUCGGAUGGAUUUAAAACAGCUUAGUGGCGGACGGGUGAGUAACGCGUGGGUAACCUGCCUCACACUGGGGGAUAACAGUUAGAAAUAGCUGCUAAUACCGCAUAAGCGCACAGUUCCGCAUGGAACAGUGUGAAAAACUCCGGUGGUGUGAGAUGGACCCGCGUCUGAUUAGCCAGUUGGCGGGGUAACGGCCCACCAAAGCGACGGUCAGUAGCCGGCCUGAGAGGGUGAACGGCCACAUUGGGACUGAGACACGGCCCAAACUCCUACGGGAGGCAGCAGUGGGGAAUAUUGCACAAUGGGGGAAACCCUGAUGCAGCGACGCCGCGUGAGUGAAGAAGUAUUUCGGUAUGUAAAGCUCUAUCAGCAGGGAAGAAAGUGACGGUACCUGAAUAAGAAGCCCCGGCUAACUACGUGCCAGCCGCCGCCGUAA
rnacentral:rRNA from 1 species